UUUCAAAUGUAGUGAGACGUUAACGGUUUAUUUCAAAUGUAGUGAGACGUUAACGGUUUAUUUCAAAUUCAGUGUGACGUUAACGAUUUAUUUCAAAUUCAGUGUGACAUUAACGGCCAACUACCGGGAAGAUUACAUACAGGAGCCACUGGAGAGGAGCUAAAGAGCCGCAUGAGGCUCCGGAGCUGCAGGUUGCAGACCCUUGGGUUAGGGCAUAUGAGCAGGACAUUAUGCAAAUUCAGCACAGAAUGGGGAGCAUCUGCACGAGCCGACGCAUGGAACUGGUGAUAGUUGAGUCCCAUCCCUGCAAACAAGAUGAAACUGGAAACGAUGAGGAGGAUCCCGCAGCCCUGGUUUGGGUUUUGGUCCUAUGGGCCGCAUGAGGGAGCCGGCAACACAGCAAUUGAAGAGCAGGCCGCCCAAGAUCAAGAAACUUCCUCUCCAGCCAAACUUGUCAAAAAGCCAGGUGUUGAUAGGAGCCAUGGUGGAGAGAACGACGGGGCUGCCGGCCAUGGCGAUCCCAUUAGCAAUGGGCCGCUUAUGGAAGAAGUACUUUCCAAUCAUAGUGAGGGCAGGGUUGAGGUUGAAAGCCAAUCCCAAACCUAAAAGAAUAAAUAAAAAAAAAUGUGUGAGUGUACUUGACAUCUAUAAUUAGUAAAAAGGGAAGAUUAAAUUGGAGAUUCAAAGCA